UUUCGCAAUGCCCGAAAGGGUGACGAAGCGACGCCGCGUGGGUGAGGAAGGCCUUCGGGUUGUAAAGCCCUGUCAGGAGUUAUGAAAUGUAAGUGCGCUAAUAUCGUGCUUAUUUGACAAAGGCUCCAAAGGAAGCCACGGCUAACUCUGUGCCAGCAGCCGCGGUAAUACAGAGGUGGCGAGCGUUGUUCGGAAUUAUUGGGCGUAAAGAGCACGUAGGUGGGUUUGCAAGUCAGAUGUGAAAGCCUUCUGUUCAACGGAAGAAUUGCAUCUGAAACUGCUAAUCUUGAGUAUAGGAGGGGAGAAUGGAACUUCUGGUGGAGCGGUGAAAUGCGUUGAUAUCAGAAGGAACGCCGGCGGCGAAAGCGAUUCUCUGGCCUAUUACUGACACUCAGUGUGCGAAAGCUAGGGGAGCAAACGGGAUUAGAUACCCCGGUAGUCCUAGCCGUAAACGAUGGGCACUAAGUAGAGGGGUUUUA
rnacentral:rRNA from 1 species